UCGGUUCCGGAAAAAUGACCAAGGCCAAGCCCAACGUGGUCAUAUAAAAUUGACAUUUAAAUAUUUGCGCAGCGGUUGAAUUUAUGGAAAAGACCGAGUGAAAGUCGUUUCCCCCCCCCCCAGUGAAUUUUUUUUUUUUUUUAUCUUGUAAAGCCCCGGGAUGUCUUAGUAGCGGCGAGUGAAGCGGCAAGGCUCAAAUUUGAAAUUGGCGCCAUCGGUGUCCGAGUUGUAAUUUGAAGAUUGUACAUUGGGGUUGGCUCUUGUCUAUGUUUCUUGGAACAGGACGUCACAGAGGGUGAAAUCCCGUGCGAUGAGAUGCCCAAUUCUAUGUAAGGUGCUUUCGGAGAGUCGAGUUGUUUGGGAAUGCAGCUCUAAGUGGGUGGUAAAUUCCAUCUAAAGCUAAAUAUUGGCGAGAGACCGAUAGCGAACCAGUACCGUGAUGGAAAGAUGAAAAAAAACUUGAAAAGAAAAUGAAAAAAGUACGGAAAAUUGUGAAAGGGAAGGGUUUGAGAUCAGACUCGAUAUUUUGUGAGCCUUGCCUUCGGGGCCGGGGUGACCCGCAGCUUAUCGGGCCAGCAUCGGUUUGGGCGGUAGGAUAAUGGCGUAGGAAUGUGACUUUACUUCGGUGAAGU
rnacentral:rRNA from 1 species